rnacentral:snRNA from 1 species
ACAAGUUAAAGACAAGAAGAUCA